GUGAGGAAUAUUGGUCAAUGGGCGAGAGCCUGAACCAGCCAAGUCGCGUGAAGGAAGAAGGAUCUAUGGUUCGUAAACUUCUUUUGCAGGGGAAUAAAGUGCGGGACGUGUCCUGUUUUGUAUGUACCCUGAGAAUAAGGAUCGGCUAACUCCGUGCCAGCAGCCGCGGUAAUACGGAGGAUCCGAGCGUUAUCCGGAUUUAUUGGGUUUAAAGGGUGCGUAGGUGGUUUGAUAAGUCAGCGGUGAAAGUUUGCAACUUAACUGUAAAAAUGCCGUUGAAACUGUCGGACUUGAGUGUAAAUGAGGUAGGCGGAAUGCGUGGUGUAGCGGUGAAAUGCAUAGAUAUCACGCAGAACUCCGAUUGCGAAGGCAGCUUACUAAGCUACAACUGACACUGAAGCACGAAAGCGUGGGGAUCAAACAGGAUUAGAUACCCCUGUAGUCC
rnacentral:rRNA from 1 species